AGCCACUAGGCACUCCUGCCGAGUUCAAAGGAGAGGGCGCUUCAGUCAGACAGCAAAUGAAAGCAAGAGAGCUUGCUGUUGGAUCCCUGAGCCACCUUGAGACUACCAUACUGGAGAGACCACAUGGAGGCUUCCUGCAGUCAAGAGUCCCACCUGAUCCUGAUGGCCCCCAGCAGCCUCAGGCCUGGCAAGGGAAAGUUGAGUGAAACCACCUUGGAAGUGGAUCCUCAGUCCCAGCUGUUCCCACCUCUAGCUUGUCUCAUCACUGCCCCCACCCCGCCCCAGCUGUUUGAAUCAUUCCCGCUGAGGUCCUGGCUGACACUGCAGAACAGAAAACAAUGACCCCUCUGUUCCCUUCCAAAGUCUUGGUCCACAAAAUCUGUGAGUGUAAUAAAAUUGUUGCUGC
rnacentral:lncRNA from 1 species